AUGAAUGCGGUCAGAGGAUCGGAGCGGUGAAGAGCGGCUAUAAAUGA
rnacentral:snoRNA from 1 species